rnacentral:rRNA from 1 species
AAGUCGUAACAAGGUUUCCGUAGGUGAACCUGCGGAAGGAUCAUUAAUGAAAUACCGAGGAAGGGAGCGGUUGCUGCUGGUCUUUCGGGACACCGUGCACAUCGCUUUCCUUCUCUUUCAUUCAUCUACCCCAUCUGUGCACUCUUCGUAGGCCAGGGAUUUCCCUGCCUAUGUCUUUUAUAUACACUCCCGUCAUAUGAAAUGAAUGUCGCAGUCUAAGCUUCGGCUUGACUAUAAAAACUUAUACAACUUUCAACAACGGAUCUCUUGGCUCUCGCAUCGAUGAAGAACGCAGCGAAAUGCGAUAAGUAAUGUGAAUUGCAGAAUUCAGUGAAUCAUCGAAUCUUUGAACGCACCUUGCGCCCUUUGGUAUUCCAAAGGGCAUGCCUGUUUGAGUGUCAUUAAAUUAUCAACGCGAUAGCUUUUUCUGAAAGCCGUCUGCGCUUGGACUUUGGAGCGUGCGGGGGACUCUUCAUCGAGAUCCGCUCCUCUUGAAAUGCAUUAGCGGUCCUGCCCAUUUGCAGACUCGCCCCGGCGUGAUAAUUAUCUACGUCGCGGCGGGAAUGCCCCUAUCCGGUGCAGCCGCUCCUAACCGUCGCCCCCUUUUGCGACAACCCCUAUGACAAUUUGACCUCAAAUCAGGUAGGAUUACCCGCUGAACUUAAGCAUAUCAAUAAGCGGAGGAAAAGAAACUAACAAGGAUUCCCCUAGUAACUGCGAGUGAAGCGGGAAAAGCUCAAAUUUAAAAUCUGGCGGUCCUCGCGGCAGCCCGAGUUGUAAUCUAGAGAAGCGAUAUCCGUGCCGGGCCGCGUACAAGUCUCUUGGAAUAGAGCGUCAUAGAGAGUGAGAAUCCCGUCUCUGCCGCGGACUACCGGUGCAUUGUGAUACGCUCUCGACGAGUCGAGUUGUUUGGGAAUGCAGCUCAAAAUGGGUGGUAAAUUCCAUCUAAAGCUAAAUAUUGGCGAGAGACCGAUAGCGAACAAGUACCGUGAGGGAAAGAUGAAAAGAACUUUGGAAAGAGAGUUAAACAGUACGUGAAAUUGUUGAAAGGGAAACGCUUGGAGUCAGUCGCGUUUGCUGGGGAUCAACCGUCUCUCGAGUCGGCGUACUUCCCAGCAGACGGGUCAGCAUCAAUUUUGUUCGCCGGAAAAAGGCGAGGGGAAUGUGGCAUCUCCGGAUGUGUUAUAGCCUCUCGUCGCAUACGGCGGACGGGAUUGAGGAACUCAGCACGCCGCAAGGCCGGGGUUCGCCCACGUUCGUGCUUAGGAUGCUGGCAUAAUGGCUUUAAUCGACC